rnacentral:rRNA from 1 species
UACGUAGGGGGCAAGCGUUGUCCGGAUUUAUUGGGCGUAAAGAGCGUGUAGGCGGUCAGGUAGGUCCGUUGUGAAAACUCGAGGCUCAACCUCGAGACGCCGAUGGAAACCAUCUGACUAGAGUCCGGAAGAGGAGAGUGGAAUUCCCUGGUGUAGCGGUGAAAUGCGCAGAUAUCAGGAAGAACACCCGUGGCUAAGGCGGCUCUCUAGUACGGUACUGACGCUGAGACGCGAAAGCGUGGGGAGCGAACAGG